GACGAACGCUGGCGGCGUGCCUAAUACAUGCAAGUAGAACGCACAGUUUAUACCGUAGCUUGCUACACCAUAGACUGUGAGUUGCGAACGGGUGAGUAACGCGUAGGUAACCUGCCUGGUAGCGGGGGAUAACUAUUGGAAACGAUAGCUAAUACCGCAUAAUAUUGAUUAUUGCAUGAUAAUUGAUUGAAAGAUGCUAUUGCAUCACUACCAGAUGGACCUGCGUUGUAUUAGCUAGUAGGUGAGGUAACGGCUCACCUAGGCGACGAUACAUAGCCGACCUGAGAGGGUGAUCGGCCACACUGGGACUGAGACACGGCCCAGACUCCUACGGGAGGCAGCAGUAGGGAAUCUUCGGCAAUGGACGAAAGUCUGACCGAGCAACGCCGCGUGAGUGAAGAAGGUUUUCGGAUCGUAAAGCUCUGUUGUAAGAGAAGAACGGGGGUGAGAGUGGAAAGUUCACACUGUGACGGUAUCUUACCAGAAAGGGACGGCUAACUACGUG
rnacentral:rRNA from 1 species